rnacentral:rRNA from 1 species
UACGUAGGGGGCGAGCGUUGUCCGGAAUUAUUGGGCGUAAAGAGCGUGUAGGCGGCCCGGUAAGUCCGCCGUGAAAGCUCGGGGCUCAACCCUGAGUUUGCAGUGGAUACUGUCGGGCUAGAGGAUGGUAGAGGGGAGUGGAAUUCCCGGUGUAGCGGUGAAAUGCGCAGAUAUCGGGAGGAACACCAGUAGCGAAGGCGGCUCCCUGGGCCAUUCCUGACGCUGAGACGCGAAAGCGUGGGGAGCAAACAGG